rnacentral:rRNA from 1 species
CGUGCUUAACACAUGCAAGUCGAGCGAUGAAGCUUCCUUCGGGAAGUGGAUUAGCGGCGGACGGGUGAGUAACACGUGGGUAACCUGCCUCAAAGUGGGGGAUAGCCUUCCGAAAGGAAGAUUAAUACCGCAUAAUAUAAGAGAAUCGCAUGAUUUUUUUAUCAAAGAUUUAUUGCUUUGAGAUGGACCCGCGGCGCAUUAGCUAGUUGGUAAGGUAACGGCUUACCAAGGCAACGAUGCGUAGCCGACCUGAGAGGGUGAUCGGCCACAUUGGAACUGAGACACGGUCCAGACUCCUACGGGAGGCAGCAGUGGGGAAUAUUGCGCAAUGGGGGAAACCCUGACGCAGCAACGCCGCGUGGGUGAUGAAGGUCUUCGGAUUGUAAAGCCCUGUUUUCUAGGACGAUAAUGACGGUACUAGAGGAGGAAGCCACGGCUAACUACGUGCCAGCAGCCGCGGUAAUACGUAGGUGGCGAGCGUUGUCCGGAUUUACUGGGCGUAAAGGGUGCGUAGGCGGAUGUUUAAGUGGGAUGUGAAAUCCCCGGGCUUAACCUGGGGGCUGCAUUCCAAACUGGAUAUCUAGAGUGCAGGAGAGGAAAGCGGAAUUCCUAGUGUAGCGGUGAAAUGCGUAGAGAUUAGGAAGAACACCAGUGGCGAAGGCGGCUUUCUGGACUGUAACUGACGCUGAGGCACGAAAGCGUGGGUAGCAAACAGGAUUAGAUACCCUGGUAGUCCACGCCGUAAACGAUGGAUACUAGGUGUAGGGGGUAUCAACUCCCCCUGUGCCGCAGUUAACACAAUAAGUAUCCCGCCUGGGGAGUACGGUCGCAAGAUUAAAACUCAAAGGAAUUGACGGGGGCCCGCACAAGCAGCGGAGCAUGUGGUUUAAUUCGAAGCAACGCGAAGAACCUUACCUGGACUUGACAUCCCUUGCAUAGCCUAGAGAUAGGUGAAGCCCUUCGGGGCAAGGAGACAGGUGGUGCAUGGUUGUCGUCAGCUCGUGUCGUGAGAUGUUAGGUUAAGUCCUGCAACGAGCGCAACCCUUGUUAUUAGUUGCUACCAUUAAGUUGAGCACUCUAAUGAGACUGCCUGGGUAACCAGGAGGAAGGUGGGGAUGACGUCAAAUCAUCAUGCCCCUUAUGUCCAGGGCUACACACGUGCUACAAUGGUAGGUACAAUAAGACGCAAGACCGUGAGGUGGAGCAAAACUUAUAAAACCUAUCUCAGUUCGGAUUGUAGGCUGCAACUCGCCUACAUGAAGCUGGAGUUGCUAGUAAUCGCGAAUCAGAAUGUCGCGGUGAAUACGUUCCCGGGCCUUGUACACACCGCCCGUCACACCAUGAGAGCUGGUAACACCCGAAGUCCGUGAGGUAACCGUAAGGAGCCAGCGGCCGAAGGUGGGAUUAGUGAUUGGGGUGAAGUCGUAACAAGGUAGCCGUAGGAGAACCUGCGGCUG